AGUGAACGCUGGCGGUAGGCCUAACACAUGCAAGUCGAACGGCAGCACAGUAAGAGCUUGCUCUUCCGGGUGGCGAGUGGCGGACGGGUGAGGAAUACAUCGGAAUCUACUUUUUCGUGGGGGAUAACGUAGGGAAACUUACGCUAAUACCGCAUACGACCUACGGGUGAAAGCAGGGGAUCUUCGGACCUUGCGCGAUUGAAUGAGCCGAUGUCGGAUUAGCUAGUUGGCGGGGUAAAGGCCCACCAAGGCGACGAUCCGUAGCUGGUCUGAGAGGAUGAUCAGCCACACUGGAACUGAGACACGGUCCAGACGCCUACGGGAGGCAGCAGUGGGGAAUAUUGGACAAUGGGCGCAAGCCUGAUCCAGCCAGACCGCGUGGGUGAAGAAGGCCUUCGGGUUGUAAAGCCCUUUUGUUGGGAAAGAAAAGCAGCAGGUUAAUACCCCGCUGUUCUGACGGUACCCAAAGAAUAAGCACCGGCUAACUUCGUG
rnacentral:rRNA from 1 species